rnacentral:rRNA from 1 species
AAGGAAGGGGGAUCGAAAACGAUCAGAUACCGUUGUAGUCUCUUCUGUAAACUAUGCCAAUUGGGGAUUAGCACAGGAUUUUCAAUGACUGUGUUAGCACCCGAAGAGAAAUCUUUAAAUGAGGUUCGGGGGGGAGUAUGGUCGCAAGGCUGAAACUUAAAGGAAUUGACGGAAGGGCACCACCAGGUGUGGAGCCUGCGGCUUAUUUUGACUCAACACGGGGAAACUCACCAGGUCCAGACACAAUAAGGAUUGACAGAUUGAUAGCUCUUUCUUGAUCUUGUGGUUGGUGGUGCAUGGCCGUUCUUAGUUGGUAGAGUGAUUUGUCUGGUUAAUUCCGAUAACGAACGAGACCUUAACCUGCUAAAUAGACCAGUCGACUUUGGUUGACUGCUGUCUUCUUAGAGGGACUAUCAGCGUUUAGCUGAUGGAAGUUUGAGGCAAUAACAGGUCUGUGAUGCCCUUAGAUGUUCUGGGCCGCACGCGCGCUACACUGACAGAGCCAGCGAGUCUUUUUCCUUUGCCGGAAGGCAUGGGUAAUCUUGUGAAACUCUGUCGUGAUGGGGAUAGAACAUUGCAAUUAUUGUUCUUCAACGAGGAAUACCUAGUAAGCGUGAUUCAUCAGAUCGCGUUGAUUACGUCCCUGCCCUUUGUACACACCGCCCGUCGCUACUACCGAUUGAAUGGCUUAGUGAGGCCUCCGG